ensembl:lncRNA
GUUAUGGUUACAACCAUUUUUUUAGACAGCAGUUUUUGUUUUAAAUUACUUGAUAUUUUAGCUCCUUUUUAUUCCCAUGCGAAAAAAGAAACAAGCAAGUGAAGAAAAAUAGAAAUAAAUUGCUGAUUUGUAGCUACUGCUAAGAAAUUAAUUUUCACUCAUAUGGAAAUAUAGCCAUCUCUUAGAUUUAAGAUAACCAAUGUGUCUUACUGUAUUGUUUUGUUUUCAUUACAGAUUGACAGCUCGGUAAUUGGAGAAAUAGAUGAUGCCACUAUGACUGCUUACAUUCCAGCAUAUGGUGAUAGGAUUGCUACAAGGCGUUUCUGUAUGGAAAAACAGAGAAAAGGUGGUGAUGAUCUAAAAAGACUGUCCUUAUUUGAAAAACUUAGAAGAAAGAUGGGCACAUUGACAAGCAAUAAAGACACAGAUCAAGAUUUUGAGGAGGAGCAUUCUAUGCAGCCAACAAAGAUACAUCUGAGAAAUAACAAAAGGGCUGUGAAGAUGACAAGGAAAAUAGAACUAGGAUGGAUACACGACAAGAAACAAGUGAGAAAACGCAAUGGUGGAGGAACCAGAGUUCUUGAUAUUUCCAAGAAAGCCACAAAAACAGAGAUUCUAUCACAAGCUAAAAAGCUAUUUUUCCCCAAUGAGAAAUCGAGAAAGGGAAAGUGGGAAGAGUUCAGUCACAACAUUGUUGACUUUCAGGAAGCAUACCUUGAUGAGGAUGUUAGUGUGGGAGAGCUCUAUGAGACACAUAAAUUGGGGAUUUUAAGAUUUUACUUGUUCACAGAGCACCUGACAAAUGGAGAUGAAGUGUUCCCAGAGAAGACAGAAGGAACUGAUGAACAGACAGAUGCAGCGAGGCUAAAUGAGCGACAGAAAAACGCAACAGAAGAUAAUGAGCAGGUGACACAAAAAACACAUGACAGUGAACAGCAGACACACACUGUGGAAGCUUUUGUCUCUACUGGUGUAGAGAUUGUUGAUCUUACAUCUUUGUGUGAUCAAUCGGAGGUCAUUUUUGGCCCUUUGCAAGGUGGACCAUUUUCAGAAGAUCUUGAUGACACAAUCUUACAUGAGCCUAUAGAAGAGGCACAGAUAAACAUCAACGCCUACAGCUCAACUCCUGUCCAUUCUGACACAGUGCCUGCUGGCCCAUUAAGUCCUACUUAUGAACUUUUGCAUGUGACAGUGAAACUCCACAGAGUCAAUCUCUUGGAGGAACUGAUUACCCAAUUCAAGGAUGAAGCGAUGAUGUCCUACUCUGUGAAAUACAGCUUCAUUCAUGAAAUGGGGGCAGAUGCUGAUGGCGUGUCCAGGGAUGUAUAUGCUGCCUUCUGGACAGAGUUUUUAGACUGUGCAGCAGAGGGUGCAGAUGUGAGGGUGCCAUCACUAUCCCCAAAAUGGCAAGAGGAAGAAUGGAAAUCUGUUGGUAGGAUAAUGGUCAAGGGAUUAAAGGACCAUGGAUAUUUUCCUUCUCGGCUGGCUCAAGCCUUUACAGCAGCAAUCGCAUUUGGUGAACACACGGUCUCACCUGAUUUAUUGUUUGACUCACUAAUGUUGUAUCUUAGUCAGUCUGAGCGCGAUCUCUUGUCCACUGCUUUGCAAGACGCCCUUGAUGGUGAUGAUGAAGAUGAGCUUCUUGAUCUUAUGGAUCGCAUGGGAGUAAGAACAGUACCAACACAAGAGAACUUGAAAGCUGUGCUUCUCCAAGUGGCCCACAAGCAAAUAAUCCAGCAACCAAAAUAUGCACUGGAUAACAUUGCAGCAGUCGCAGGACCGACUCUCAGGGAGUUCUUCCCCAGUGUGCUGGAUAUGCAAAAGAUGUAUGAGGAUCUUAAACCAUCAACCCGAAAGGUAUUAAAGUUGAUCACGGCCUCUCCAGCUACUCCAGCAGAGAACCAAAGUUUGCGAUUUUUACAUCAGUACAUCAGGGGAUUGGAUGAGAUAGGCCUCCGGAAGAUGUUGAGAUUCGUGACAGGGUCUGAUGUCAUCUGCGUUAAAGACAUUCAAGUCAUAUUCACCCCUUUGGAAGGGUUAUCAAGGCGGCCUAUUGCACACACUUGUGGCCCAACUUUAGAGCUGCCAUCAACUUACAACAGCUAUCCUGACCUCCGAGCUGAAAUGGAGGCUAUACUGUCCAGCAACUUCUAUGCAAUGGACAUUGCAUAGAAGUGUCUCACUCACUCACAUGUACACACUCUUCCCUCUUGCCCAGUUAUAGCCUUAUCAGUGCCAUCUGUUUACCUUUAGAUAGUGUGUGAAUGUGAGACCGAGCACAUAGGGGAAGUAAUUAACUCAGGUGGUGCAUUAUUAGCGCAGGGUGAUUUAUUUUUUAUUUGAUGUUUUUCAGUUUCAGUUUUAUCCAGAAUGUCAUUACCAAACUUACUGUGGAAACAUGUUUACUGGCUGAUGAACAUUUUGUUGAUGGACUCCGAAUAUAUCCAGCCCACAUUUACACAUGAUAACA